UACGAAGGGUGCAAGCGUUACUCGGAAUUACUGGGCGUAAAGCGCACGUAGGCGGUUCGUUAAGUCGGAUGUGAAAGCCCUCGGCUCAACUGAGGAAGUGCACCCGAAACUGGCGAGCUUGAGUACGAAAAGAGGAUCGCGGAAUUCCCCGGUGUAGAGGUGGAAAAUUCGUAGAUAUCGGGAGGAACACCGGUGGCGAAGGCGGCGACCUGGUCCUUAACUGACGCUGAGGCGCGAAAGCGUGGGGAGCAAACAGG
rnacentral:rRNA from 1 species